AGUAUAUUAGAAGGACUACAAAAGCAAAUAAACAAAAAAUAGCACCUUAGAAAUAGAAAGUGAAAAGUCAGAACAUUUUUAAAUCUCAAAAAGUAAUGAAGACAAGGAUGUGGGAAAAUAUGGGAAAUAUUUCAGAUUGGCAAAAAAAAUACAGCCUGAAGAUAAUAAAAGUCUUCAAAAAGGAAACAGAAUGAAUACUGAACACUAUAACAUAAGAAAAUUUGCCUGAAUGGCACCAAAAAAAAAAAAAAAGAAAAAGAUUUUAAACUACAUAUUGGAAGAGCAUAUAAUGGGCUGAAGAAUAAAUAUGUAUUAGUAAAAUGUUCAGGUUUCAAAGAAAACGAAAUGAGCAUGUCACUUGUAAGGGAAAGAAAAUUAAUCAUUAGACAUUUUCACAGCAAAACUUGAUGCCAGAAGCAAAUGCGAUACCAUAUUUCAGGUACUCAAGGAAAGUAAAUAUGAGCUGUAGAUUUUAAAUCCAGCAAAAUUUACCUUGAAGUAAAAAGGGCCCUGAAAAAUUUAUCAAUAUGCAAGAGCUUGAGGAAUCUUUUCCCCGUGAGCCCUUCCUAAAGAAUUCUCUAAAAAAUGUGCUUCCGACAACCACAGGGAUUUAAGAAUAAUUAGUAUAAGGACUAUUGGUGAGUAUUAAAUAUACAAUUAUUUAUAGAAUUGGAUUAAAAGUGUAAAAAGGCAUAGGACAUAGUGUAUGUACUACCUGUAUGCUCUGGCAAGGUACAUUUAGCAUAACCAUUAAAAAAAACCAAGAAGGCAAGGAGAGGUGUGGUGUAAGCAAGCAUUUUAAAACCUUUGAAUAAGCAUAAUGGGUGGUGGUGGUGCUGGCAUUGUUAUUCUGAUAGUUGCCCUUGUAACAUAGGACAAAGCAAAUGAGAAAUUGUAGAAUAUUCUUAUUUCAUUAUCCCAAGGUCCUUGAGAAAUAGGAUUCUCAUAAUUUGCAUUGGAAAUAUCAUUAUGAAUGCAUGAGAAUUUUAUCCUUUUUAUCUUCCAAUAUGUUUAUCUCCCCUCUUGGUCUAUCUAUAAAAAGAUCAAGAAACACUCCAGAUCUGGGCCACAAAAUGGUCGAGAUGCGCCACCAGGGACACCUUCUCAUACCAGAGAGUGAAAACGUUAUCAAGUAUUAGGUGUCAGUUUGCUAGGUUUGCCAUGACCAAGUACCAGAAACUGGGAAGCUUAAAACAACGGGAAUUUAUUCUCUCAGCUCCGGAAGUUAGAAGUUUGAGAUCAAGGCUCCAGCAAGAUUGGUUCUUUAUGGAGGUUUUGAAGAAGAGUCUGUUUCCCGCUUUUCUCCUACAUCCUGGUCGUUGCUGGCCGUGCUCGCCUUGAAGAUGCUUUGCUCCAGUCUCCGCUUCCAUCACAAGACAUGCUCUGCGUGUCUGUGUGUCAAAAUGUCCCUCUUAUAACGACACUGGUCAGAUUGGAUUGAGGGCCUACCCUAAUCCAAUAAGAGUUCAUCUUAAUCUGAUUCCCUCUACGAAGGCCCUAUUUCCAAGUAAGGUUACGUUCAUAUGUUCUGGAUGGACACAAAUUUUGCAGGGACAGUACUCAACCUAGCACAGCCUACUAGAGUUGUCCAAGUAACUCAUCCUAAAGAGGCUUUCACUGGCCAAAAUGUGAAUGAAAUAAAGCAUUUUCUUCCAGAGGAGAUUCUUCACCCUGGAUAAUUAUUGGUAGGCAAAUAAAUUUUUUUUUUAAAAGUCACAAAUCUAAGAUGAAAACUGAGGGGUCGUGAGGAAUCCUUUUAUUUCAAUGAUUCUGCUUCGUGUUUCUGGCAAAUAGAAACUCUUUGAGCUUCGGUAAACAAAAGAAAUGCAAAGUUCAAAAUUAUACACACACAUACACAUGAUACAAAAAAUGGUUACCUUUUGAGGAUGACAGGAAACCAAUUCAUUAUCCGAAAACUGAGGAAAUUAUGGGAAGAAUCGAGCACUAUUCUGCCUUUCUCAUGUAAACUGUGAUAGUAACAGAAGCAGGAAACAUCUCAUAAAAUUAUUCCAGCUCAUAAAGGAAAACAAAAUCAUAAAAUCAGAGUAUGCCCAUUUUGCAAACCCUAAUGAAUUAAUGGAUCUCGGCACUGAGCACCACUGGCUGCUAACAUCGACAGAGUGAAAGUUAAAAUUAAAGUUUAUUAAAAACAAUAAAACAAGGUAGGUGAAAGCCAGAUUUUAUAUGCCUCCUUUUGAAAGAAUGUGCCACAGUUUGCCAAAAGGAAUCAAACUGGAUCUGACUCUGGAUGCAGCUAUCAACAUGUCGGCCCGGCCGACAGAGGACAGAGGAACGUGUUGUGAUGCACCGUGAGGGUUCGAUCGGCAAAACCCAGAUUGCAGGAGAGUGUGCAGGCUGCACGACCCCAGGUUCUUCAGCAGAAAAUCCGUCGGGGGAAGAAAGGGGUGGAGGGGAUCCUGGAGAUUGAAAGAGACUUAAAAGACAUACCAAGUUUUUAAAAGUAGGCAAGUCUAAACUGUUGUGCCUCAGGUUGCCCACGAGGAUGUCAAAAUCACAAAGAAACACAAGGAAGAGAGUGCUGUAAAAAUCAGGACAAUGGUUCCUGUCAGAGGCUGUGACUGGGAUGGGGCACGUGGAGGGGAGCCGAGGUUGGCUGGUGACAUUCUGUGUCUUGACCUGGAAGGUGCUUCCAAGGGAAUCCUGCCAUGGUGUGUGCCCUCUCUCGGUCCCAGGGUCCCCAGCGACUUCCUGGCACAGACAGACGCAGGCCGCAGGACUCCCAACCCCCAUGCUCCCCCUCUGCCCUCCGCCUCGCCUCGUUCCUGCUGGUGGAUCUUGAGCCCCGUGUCCAAACACACAGAAUCUGUCGCGUUAUGCAUGUCGCUGAGUUUUCUUUCCUCUCCAGGACAGGGACACGCGGCUGGCAUCCUGCUAACUGUUGCACAAGGAGCCGGAGAACUCAGAUUCUAGGACAGGUUUUGUCGCUAACCAGGUGUUCAGGCUCAGACAGCUCACUUUUUCUCUCUGUGCCCCGGGACUCAUCUGAGGGGCACCUGCCUCAGAACUGUUACACGUUCAUUAAUAAAAACUGUGUGCCGGCUCUUCCAGUGCUGGGAUACAGUGCCAAACAAGACAGCUGUGAUCCUGCCCUCCUGGAGCCCGCGUUCCAGAGUGAGGGGACGACAAGGAACUAGGUAAAUUAGGUAAUCGCUGACCGGAUCGAGUGCUCUGCGGGAGACAAACAGAAUGAUGCAAGAGAGAGCUCCUGGGAGGAGCUGACAUUUAUUUAAAAGCCUCCACCUGCAGACUGAGAAGGAGCCAGCCCAGUCGCUGGGGAAGAACUGCCUUCCAGGCAGAGUUCUGCGCUAAAAAGACCCCCCAAAAAACCAAAAAAUGCUUUGCAAACUGUACAGUGCAACACAGGUAUCAAGUUUAAUAGGAGUUAAACCGCCUUCGUUCUCUGUGGCUUCGCUGCCGCACAUUCCUUGAUCAAAGCCUGGAGUUGGCACCACUGGGCGGUGUCUGGAAAGCAGUGCUGGGACAACUUAAGUCACAGAGUGUGGUGGGAAGAGGGGCAGACCAAGAGUUCUGCUCUCUUUGAGGACAUGACGAUCCCAUCUCUAUGGGGAGGCUCUUCUCCUCCCACAGCCUCAU